rnacentral:lncRNA from 1 species
GGGGCUUACUAUUUUUAAUAUUUUUAUUUUGUUUUCAAGAUAGCAUGGUUAACUAACAAGCCAUUUAAGGAAAGUAAAUAAUUUAAGGGAAAAGGAAAUGCAGAAAGGAUAAAUAUGGGUAACCACUGAUUUUACCUUUCGGCGAGGGUUCAAUGUUUUAAGUCUUCUGAACAAGACUUCUCACCGUGUUCAUUCUUUAGGUGCGUCAUUUGAUUCAGGUGUGGACCUUGACGUCUGCUCCUCUUGAUAUGGUGUCACUCAUGUUCUUCGUUUGCCCAGGAGUUCGAAGUGCGGCGUUGGCAGUAUCUUGCUCAGUGUGUUUGUGCUUGUAGAUCCACGUCCUUCACUUGGUAGAGUCUGGGAGUUGAAAAAUCCUCUAUGUUUCUCAAAAUGUGUCCUGCUCAUAGAGACAAGGCAG